rnacentral:rRNA from 1 species
UACGGAGGGGGCAAGCGUUAUUCGGAAUUAUUGGGCGUAAAGGGCGCGUAGGCGGCUAGAUGUGUCAAAGGUGAAAUCCCUCGGCUCAACUGAGGAACUGCCUUUGAAACUGUCUGGCUUGAGGCCGGGAGAGGGUAGCGGAAUUCCCAGUGUAGCGGUGAAAUGCGUAGAUAUUGGGAGGAACACCAGUGGCGAAGGCGGCUACCUGGACCGAUUCUGACGCUGAGGCGCGAAAGCGUGGGUAGCAAACAGG